AUUGAACGCUGGCGGCAUGCCUUACACAUGCAAGUCGAACGGUAACAGGUCUUCGGAUGCUGACGAGUGGCGAACGGGUGAGUAAUACAUCGGAACGUGCCCGAGAGUGGGGGAUAACGAGGCGAAAGCUUUGCUAAUACCGCAUACGAUCUCAGGAUGAAAGCAGGGGACCGCAAGGCCUUGCGCUCACGGAGCGGCCGAUGGCAGAUUAGGCAGUUGGUGGGAUAAAAGCUUACCAAGCCGACUAUCUGUAGCUGGUCGGAGAGGACGACCAGCCACACUGGGAAUGAGACACGGGCCAGACUCCUACGGGAGACAGCAGUGGGGAAUUUUGGACAAUGGGCGCAAGCCUGAUCCAGCCAUGCCGCGUGCAGGAUGAAGGCCUUCGGGUUGUAAACUGCUUUUGUACGGAACGAAAAGACUCUGGUUAAUACCUGGGGUCCAUGACGGUACCGUAAGAAUAAGCACCGGCUAACUACGUGCCAGCAGCCGCAGUAAUAC
rnacentral:rRNA from 1 species